rnacentral:piRNA from 5 species
GACCUGCUUCUGGGUCGGGGUUUCGUA